CCUACGGGAGGCAGCAGUGGGGAAUAUUGCGCAAUGGGCGAAAGCCUGACGCAGCGACGCCGCGUGAGGGAUGAAGGUCUUCGGAUCGUAAACCUCUGUCAGCAGGGAAGAACGGUCACUGUGCUAAUCAGCAGUGAAUUGACGGUACCUGCAAAGGAAGCACCGGCUAACUCCGUGCCAGCAGCCGCGGUAAUACGGAGGGUGCGAGCGUUAAUCAGAAUUACUGGGCGUAAAGCGCUCGUAGGCGGUAUGUCAAGUCAAGGGUGAAAUCCCCGCGCUCAACGUGGGAACUGCCUUUGAAACUGGCAAACUGGAGUGUGUGAGAGGAUAGUGGAAUUCCAGGUGUAGGAGUGAAAUGCGUAGAUAUCUGGAGGAACAUCAGUGGCGAAGGCGACUAUCUGGCACAUAACUGACGCUGAGGAGCGAAAGCGUGGGUAGCAAACAGGAUUAGAUACCCGAGUAGUC
rnacentral:rRNA from 1 species